UCAAGUUCUUUGAAAUUUGGUGGAUGAGAAUUUUCUGCAUUUCCUCAUAGGAUUGAUUGAAAAGGGGCAUUCUUUCCUGUGCGUUUUUAAAUGGUAGGUAGAUUGGAACCGCUGCUACAACUAUGAAAUCUAUUGAAUUUGUGUUUCUCUGCAUCUUUUCUCUCCGGUCGAGCCAAACUAUUGAUUCUUCCUCUUCUAUUCUCUUUCAUUACCUCUUCUUUUUUCCUUUUUCAAUUAGAACGGUUAUUGAGUCCACCAAACUACCUCUUAUUCCUUUCUUUGCUGUUGUAGGUUUCAACCGCACCAACUGAAGGUAUUUGUUGAUCUUGUUUCCUUUCAUUGUUACUGCUCUUUUGUUUAUCUUUUAGGCAUCAUUUUUCACUUGAUUAUAUUAUUGGGUUUGAAUUUUUGCUGUUAUAUUUCCUCUGCAUUGUGGUUCUCAAUUUGGAUUUUCAGUUUUUUCUAGUUAAUUUAUAGUGUACUUAUUGUGAAUACUAAAUCAUAAGUAAGAAUCUUGUAUAUAUGUGUGUGUAUUUAGUGUAGGAUAUUUGUUGGUUGAAAAUGCUAUUGUGGUGCAUAAUUGUAUGCCUAUGUGUAAGUCGUUUGAGUUCUGUUUAGUGUAGAUUCAAGUGUGAAUUGUGAAACUAGUAAUGAAUAAUGAAUUUAAAAUUAUAACUGNNNNNNNNNNNNNNAAUUAUAACUGUGAAGUGUAAAUGUUGAAGUUCUUCAAUACUAGUUUCAUUUUGUUUUGCUAGUUCUCAGUGUUUUAUUCUUAUUUUUCAGUUCUUUCAUAUGUGAGGAGAUCAUAUACUGGUGGUAUUUACCACGUCUUUAAAAAAAUCAUACAGGUACCAAGCUACCAAGCUUACUCUGCAAUUGUAAAUGAUUCAGGAAAAUAAUAGGUAUGCCUUAAAUCACACAUUGGGAAUGGAUCUGCCACUCUUAGGUAAGUUUUAACUCAAAACACUAUAUAUUAGUGUCCUUUCUCUAUUUUUCUGAAGUUCCAGAUUACUAGUCCUGCAUAAUAUUAGAAGUUUGGUAUGCUUAUUUUGUUCUUCUAUUAUUUUGAAUGACUUGUGAAAGAUACAUUCAUCAUGAUCUUGUAAAUCAUUCGUAAGUUUAUGUAAGUCAAACAAUUUGAUAGUGCUCCAUUUUAUCAUAGUCA
rnacentral:lncRNA from 1 species